GGUUUCAAGGACGAGUCAAGGUUGGUUCACUAACAAAAUUCACUCAACAUUUUCUAGAAAACCCUUAAUGCUAUUCUUCCAUAUCAGUACAAUGUGAUAAUAAAAUUUUCAGUUUCCACAAGAUUCUUCCAACUUAAAAACAUCAUAUACGUUUGUAUGUGUGUGCAUUCUUUUUUUCUUUCUUUUAGUAUUUAGAAGUGUAAAAUUUAAUAGCUGAAAUCCUUACAUUAAAUGGCAAGAAAGUCUGAAUGAACCAAACAAACUAUUAAUCAUAUCAACCUAAUCAAAAGCUAAAAACUAAUAAUUAAACAAAACAAUCAGAUCCUAGUUGUGAGAAAAAGAAGAAACCAAGACAGGAAAAGCAAGAUUAAUCCUAAAUCAUUGACAUUUUACAAAUUAAGGAGAAAGUCAAAGAUUCGGC
rnacentral:lncRNA from 1 species